rnacentral:rRNA from 1 species
UACGUAGGGACCGAGCGUUGUCCGGAAUCAUUGGGCGUAAAGAGCGUGUAGGCGGCUUGUUAAGUCUUGCGUGAAAUCUCGGGGCUCAACCCCGAGCGGUCGUGAGAAACUGGCAGGCUAGAGUGCGGGAGAGGAGAGUGGAAUUCCUGGUGUAGCGGUGAAAUGCGCAGAUAUCAGGAAGAACACCCGUGGCGAAGGCGGCUCUCUGGAACGCAACUGACGCUGAGGAGCGAAAGCAUGGGGAGCGAACAGG